rnacentral:lncRNA from 1 species
CCACGCCCAGCUCAUUUUGUACUUUUAGUACAGACGGAGUUUCUCCGUGUUGGUCAGGCUGGUCUGGAACUCCCGACCUCAGGUGCUCCACCCGCCUUGGCCUCUCAAAGUGCUGGGAUUACAGGCGUGACCCACUGCAGUCGGACAGGAACCAUGCACCUCCUUGCACUGUCACUCAGCUACUCAGAACAUCUCUUGAACAUCUCUUGAACAAUUCUGUUGUUGGAAGUUUAUAAUGUCAGGUGCCAGCACACUUGAAAUGCGUGAAAAUGAGGUGAUACACACAACACUUCUGUUCAAGUUUUGAUUCAGCCUGCCUCAGUGUCCUGGCCUCUUUUCUCACUGGAUACAAUGGACAGGCCAUCAGCAUCAGACUGUGUUCCGAAUAAUCAGAGGACAUUGUGUUUU